rnacentral:rRNA from 1 species
AUGCAAGUAUUUGGGUGCAAAACCCUGAUGCGUAAUGAAAGUAAAGGCAGACUUGUUCUGCUGAGGUAGGAAUCCGGCAACGGAGGCACUAUCGACCGAUCAUCACUUGUGAAAGAUUUGAGUAAGAGCAUAUCUGUUGGGACCCGAAAGAUGGUGAUCUAUGCCUGAACAGGGUGAAGCCAGGGGAAACUCUGGUGGAGGCUCGUAGCGAUACUGACGUGCAAAUCGUUCGUCUGAUUUGGGUAUAGGGGCGAAAGACUAAUCGAACCAUCUAGUAGCUGGUUCCCUCCGAAGUUUCCCUCAGGAUAGCUGGAACUUAUACAGUUUUAUCAGGUAAAGCUAAUGAUUAGAGGUUCCGGAGCUGAAACAGCUUUGACCUAUUCUCAAACUUUAAAUAGGUAAGAAGUCCCGUGUUACUUAAUUGAACCGGGACAUCGAAUGGAAGUUCUUAGUGGGCCAUUUUUGGUAAGCAGAACUGGCGAUGCGGGAUGAACCGGACGUUGAAUUACGGUGCCAAACUAUUCGCUCAUCUAGAUCCCUCAAAAGGUGUUGGUUCAUUUAGACAGCAGGACGGUGGUCAUG